rnacentral:rRNA from 1 species
AUUGAACGCUGGCGGCAGGCCUAACACAUGCAAGUCGGGCGAGAGGCGUACGGGUGAGUAAUGUAUGGGGAUCUUCCUGAUGGAUGGGGAUAACUACUGGACACGAUAGCUUAUACCGCAAACCAUCAGAUGAACCCAUAUGGGAUUAGCUGGUAGGUAAGGUAACGGCUUACCUAGGCGACGAUCCCUAGCUGGUCUGAGAGGAUGAUCAGCCAAACUGGGACUGAGACACGGCCCAGACUCCUACGGUAGGCAGCAGUGGGGAAUAUUGCACAAUGGGCGCAAGCCUGAUGCAGCCAUGCCGCGUGUAUGAAGAAGGCCUUCGGGUUGUAAAGUACUUUCAGUCGGGAGGCGUUACCGACAGAAGAAGCACCGGCUAACUCCGUGCCAGCAGCCGCGGUAAUUC